AUGAACGCUGGCGGCGUGCCUAACACAUUCAAGUCGCACGGAGUCCAGCCUUUAAGACCUUCGGGUCAAAGAGGGGAAGACUGAGUGGCGGACGGGUGAGUAACACGUGGGCAACCUGGCUCAUAGAGGGGGAUAACAGAGAGAAAUUUCUGCUAAUACCGCAUAAGCACACACUGCCGCAUGGCAGAGGGUGAAAAGAGAAUCGCUAUGAGAUGGACCCGCGUCUGAUUAGCCAGUUGGCAGGGUAAGAGCCUACCAAAGCGACGAUCAGUAGCCGAUCUGAGAGGAUGAACGGCCACAUUGGGACUGAGACACGGCCCAAACUCCUACGGGAGGCAGCAGUGGGGGAUAUUGCACAAUGGGGGGAACCCUGAUGCAGCGACGCCGCGUGAGUGAAGAAGUAUUUCGGUAUGUAAAGCUCUAUCAGCAGGGAAGAUAAUGACAGUACCUGAAGAAGAAGCCCCGGCUAACUACGUG
rnacentral:rRNA from 1 species